UACGUAGGUGGCGAGCGUUGUCCGGAAUUAUUGGGCGUAAAGGGAGCGCAGGCGGACAUAUAAGUCCAUCUUAAAAGUGCGGGGCUCAACCCCGUGAGGGGAUGGAAACUGUAUGCCUUGAGUGCAGGAGAGGAAAGCGGAAUUCCCAGUGUAGCGGUGAAAUGCGUAGAUAUUGGGAGGAACACCAGUGGCGAAGGCGGCUUUCUGGACUGCAACUGACGCUGAGGCUCGAAAGCCAGGGGAGCGAACGGG
rnacentral:rRNA from 2 species